rnacentral:lncRNA from 1 species
GUUUUUCUUGUUUUUUUCCGUAAAGCCAUUUAACUUUUAGUCAUCAAGAUACAAUUCUACAAUAUAAUAAUAAUAUUUGAUAUUCAUGGAUCGAAUAUAAAUAACCACACACUUACCUAUUUCUUAUUUCCUUCAUCAAACAGACGGGCGACGGGCCGACGGCUAAGCAAUACUACAAGAUUUACGAUAUAGAUAAGAUUUAAAGCAGCAGUCAAGGACUAGGAAAUCCAGUUUUUUUUUUUUUUUUACCACUAUGGGAUUGGAAGGCAGGAGCGAAGAUCUGAAGCAGAGGCUGGUGGUUCCACACACGUACCCCGCUCCUGGCGUGAGAGAGGAAGA